CCCUAGUUUUUGCGCCAGGAUACCCGCACUCCCGCUUGUCUAUUGUCUGUCUGUUGCUCUGUCCGGCCGUUGGGUUCUGAUUCGCUGGAACUCAAAUAUUCUACAUUGUCAAAUAUCGAUAUUCUGUCUGAGAAAUGAAGAGAAUCUGUCGCCGCUCAUAGUAUGCCCUAUGUACUCGUCCCUAGUGGUCGUUGUCUACACAUAAAUGUAUAUAUUUGUGGCACUAUACAUAUCGAGCUCCUUCGCCCGCUCCAUUUUGAUAUUCAACGAAUCAAUUGUAAUGCUAUACACUUGCUGGCUCUGGUCGACACUGAUGACUGGGAUAACAUAGCUCAUCAAUUAACCCAGCUAACGGAUUUCUGACAAAUAUCAUCGGCGAUUCAACGUGGAGGUAUUAUAUGAGGCGGUUGGAAGAUAAUGUCUUCAAUAUGUACUGCUUAUGUGACGAAUUCCAUGUGGGACAGCAGAUCCUGUGUCGAGCCCCGUUCCUUAAGAAGAGCUGCAGCGGAACUAGGAACGCAUUUACCAUACGAUAAUACCUGGUGUUAUCAAAUGUUUAGUUGUUAUGAUCCAUAAGUAAAACACCAAUACAGAGCUGCACUACAGAUGUAAAGGGUGAAGAACACGCACCACAAACUGCUAACUUUAUGUAUUUUUGUCGCUGCUGGUGGAUAGAUCGAGGAACAUGAAUUGGCUUUUUGAUGUAUUCGCGAUUUGUCUGUUUAAGCCGCUGUCUCAUUCUCUUACUUACCAACCUAGCCGGUAAAAUUUUACAAAUGUUUUAAGUUGUUUCCGUUACAUAGGACCGCAUAGAUUCGUUUUCCAAGCUCCUCGAAACGCUGAGUGAUUGAAUUAGUCACUGGGUGAUGGACAAGGAGCAGUGAUUGAGCCUUAACGGCCUUAGUCAAAAUAUUUUCCAGCGCCGGUGAUCUUGUAUGAACUUAUAACGAACAACCUAACUUCUUUGGUUCCCUAAAUAAAAUGGCGGUAGUAAAGUUUACACGUGUAUACUAUUCGACCAUAAGCAAAUCUAAUGUCGACAAAUUAGGAGUGGCACAUUGAACCUGCUUAGCUGCACCCACGUGAAUACAUAGCAAUCAUGUAAAAAAAAAAAACUAUCCACAAACGUAGUUGUGAUUUUGGGCAUCACCAGACGUAUCGAGUAUGUUAGUAAACGAGGUAUUUCUAUUUAGUAUAUAACAACAGUUAGCCGGGUUUGCAAUUUUUCAAAAUGGAGGAAUACCACAAGCCAGGCGACAGAAAAUAACGGUAGCUAAUGGCUUUGUUAUGUAUACAACAUGCAUGAACCACAUGCGAAGAUAUCUAGAAGAUGCCGAUCGUGCAUAACACUGUGAAACAGGCUGACUACGAAAGCGGCAUCAUCGCUCAAAGGGUGUAUAGGCUAUUUUCUGUUUGCUGUACCUGCUCUGAUUUACGACACGCAAUUUUUAUUACUAACAUUGGCAACUAUGUGAAAGGCCGCACUCGGUAAUCUUCUCUCAAGCCACCUCUCGAAAACGCUGUAUUGUCGAUGUUAAAACCAAUGAACUUUGUUCACAUUUACCGCCGUCUCCGUUACGUUCCCGUAAAGACCAAUAACAUCGGGGUGAUACGCUGUUACUGGCUAAUACGCCACUAUGAGACCCUUGUUAAAGUUGGCUAGGCUUACGGUUGAAUCGCAAAAAAUGGUACUAUCUAUACCGACUACGAUUCUCUAGCAGAUGCAGGCGUGUGCUUAGAGCAUAGACGCGCCUCUACAGAAUGGCGAGAUUUGCUGUCUACGCCGUAAACGUGAACUUAACGGGAUACAGUUAUAGACUUGCAUGUAUAUAAUACUUUUAGCGAGCGCUGGCAACUCUUUCGAUUGUGGAACUAAAUGGCUUUCCUCAAAAGUUUAUCGCAUUUUCUGACUACAAGUAACACCGAAGUUCGCAGGCCCGUUUUCCCCCCUCUCUCUCUCUCUCUCUCUCUCUCUCUCUCUCUCUCUCUCUCUCUCUCUCUGGUAAACUUUCGAAGGGGUUUGGACGAUACUAGUUACGACUCUGGACUCGUCACUUGCUGGACAUUUGUAUUUAAAAAGGAAGUUAUACAAUAAUACUGAUAGGCAUGCCAAUAUGCUUGCUCUAUGGCGUUGAGUAAAAGAAAAUUCAGUCAUCUUACCAGGAAAGCAGGAGGAAUAGUUCACUUCUCGUUUGUUUUGCCUAGGAAUCACAAUACCGGUUUAGAAUGUUUGCGAUGAAUCAGAGAUGUAUAACUGGCCGAUGUAUGAAGCUCAAUGAACCCAGUGGUUGUAUUCGGAGGUUUUGGUUAGCUCAAACUAUUGAUCCACCGCCGGCGAUUUUUAUCGACCGUCAUUUAAUCCAUUUCCCACUCCCAAUGGAUUCAAUGGGCUAGAGCGCGGCGAGAAACGCAAUGUUCUAUCGGUUGCGAAGUUACCGAAACGAGCAACAAAAGCCCUACGACAUCCAAUUGUCUAACUGGAGUUUCUUGGGAGAAAGUAUUUCUACAUAACACGGUUAUAAUGAGCGCAGGGUCGUUUUGUAGUGCACCGUUAGAGCUGCCAGCCCGUUCGAUAAACAUGGCCAAAAAAGGGAGCCGUUGACAAAAUACCCACUGAUGUUUGAGGUUGUCUAGUAGUUACAACGUAUUUUUUAAAAUAGGUUCAGGUGUGUAACUUGGAAGCUGUGUUCGAAACCGAAAGCUUUCUGCGUUAUACCUCCUUCCACAAAAUACCUUAAAAAAGUAGAUGGCUUUUUCGAACAAGUCACCGCAUUAUGUCGUAAAGUAGUUUUCAGCGUCUAUGCAGACGUUCACUUGAUAAAACAGUAGCUAUAGUAGCAUGUGCUCGCUCCUAGUGUUGUUUCCGGCUGGAAUUGGAGUGUACAUUAAUUCUGAUUCAUGCGUUAUCUGGCUCGUGUAUCGUACAAGCAAUUCAAGCUAUCGAAAAAUAAGAAUUAUUUUAUGGAUUUUCCGCACGGAAGGAGGCAGUGAUGUCCGGCAUUUCCAGCGUAGGCAAGAGAGCCUACCAAUAAUUCAACACAGGGUAACUUUCCGGGUUUGACACGGUACCGACUGGUCCAUGUUACGAGUUGACCCAGGCUCAUCCUGCUAAUGGGAAAAAAACAUACGUCGCAGAAAGAACUUUGCUGUCCGAACCCAACCGCGCAAUGGGAUACCCUUGAAAUAUCUAUGCACCGAUCAAUUGGACCAUUCGUAAACUCCUCGUAGACCUAACGGUAUAAUUACUGAACAUUUUCAAUGUGACUUCAAAAUGUGAAAAUAAGUCCAGAACCAUAUCAUAAGAAAUACACUUGAGGGCAAGUAGGACUUAAGCUUGAAGUCUCUCAACGUACUUCACUUGGGUUUCAAAUAGCUGUAUUGGAUUUUUUUCCAGAAAACAGAAACGAUUUCUGAGUAAAAAAUGUCUGCAUCCUACUUUUGACGCUUUUUCGUAAAUCGCAAUGCUUGCAGACAAGCUCGAGGUGACAAUUCUUCCCAAAUUCAAUGGAUGAAGUUAGACAAGCCAUGUUGCUAUAGACAUCUUUGCUACAGUGUCAACGGGACUGACAUUUUUUCCGAGCACACGAGAUGAGUUGGCUCUGAGUAUUCGCUAUAUGCGUGUUCAAUACGCAUGUAAAAAUGGUUGGCAGCCAUUAACGCGCCAUUGAUCGAAAGGUCGACAGAACUGUUGUUAACGGUUCCAAAAAACGUCCCUAAGACGACAGUCCGUCGCCAAGAAGUUUGUCUGUGACAACGGCAUGUCACUGCCGCGAUGCGAUCGAUCCGACAUCAAUGACGCCGAAGACAGUUCCAGAAUUUGCAUUGCCUAGAUAAGUAAAUCGACUGGUGGACAGGGCGCUUAGAUACACGGUACACGAUGACGUGGUUUGGCUUUCGAUUGCACUUUGUUUUUAGCGUCGCUGUCGCCGUUGUUGUUAAUUGUGACGGGGAAAAAAGUGCGCCCAUACAAAGCAUCCGGCCGAGCGACGCUGUGGUCCAGCUUUCGGAUUAAUUUGAACUAGUUUCGCUGAAUGCUGCUUCUUGGCUGGAGAAACGAUGCCGACUUGUUCGCUUGCAGCGACAUCCUACGAAGUUCGCUAUCACGACCGCGACAGAUUCAUCGGCGUCAGCAGCAUUACCUUCAACAGUAACCCUACGUCGGCGGGAGCACCAAAAUCAAGACCGACAACGGCGGCCACAGCCACAGCGCUCGUAGAACAACAACGACGAAGAAAAUUGUCAAAUUGUGUCUCCUUCAUGUUUAUCAGCCAGCUAGCCAACGACCAAACGGUAGAUUAGGAGCGAAGAUGACUGCCCUAACAUUAAUAAAGCCAAGGAGAUGAAAACGGAUGGAAGAAGGUAUCACGAGAGAAUCACGAUUGCCGCCAACGACAACCGCGCCAAAAGCUAAAGACGCUCAACGCGGCAGAAAAACCCACGGCAGAAGAAGCAUGUCUACAAGCAGCUUUUAACAGGCAAACGAAAACUACACACAGGUCGGCAGACGUUAUAGCCGAUGGACACAUGGGCUAACUCCGAUUGUGCUGCGAACUGCUCUUCUAUGUCAUGCCAGCGUGCUGGGACAGGAGACGGCUCUUCAUUCUCAAACGAGGAACUGUGUGUCUUCCGACGAGUACCUGUGACAGACAACGUGCCCACUAAGCAAAAUAACAGGCAGAAAAGGUAGCAGCAGACAGAAAUAGACAUCAAAGCUAGAAAACAGCAUUUUGCUAUUUCCUUUGUAUUUGACAGCGCUUCGCACUAAAGCUAGCGCCACAGAUUGGCAAGGUAAACACGUCUUCGCCACUGAAUAAAGGCGAUCUUUGGAUCUCUCCACGUCUCCAGGCGUUUGUGGACGGCGAAAAGCGGGGCGGUCCCUCGCUCCGCAGGAUUUGUAGUUAAUCCCAAGGACAGCAUGCACAGAUGACAGUAAAGGAGGCACGGGGAAUGAUCUGCAGCGUCGACAUGUCACAAACUAUAACGACUGGAUAGAGCCAACUGGGAACGAUCACCGGUCACGUGGUAGAAAACGAAAGGAUAGAACAGAACAGUUGGAUUGAAACCGAUUAUAGUUCGGUAUCCGUGAUGCUAGUCGACGCACAGUACAAUGUUUCUGCAAAAAACCGAUACGAGGAAAGGGCACUGACAUAACGUUACGUUGAGAAGUCACGCUGUCUUCAUCAAAACGCAACUCUGAAGUGAAUGAUAUCCUCACGGCCUGGUACUAUGCGCUGGCUUCGAUAAAACAGCCUCUAGUAAACUUUAUCUGUUGGAAUGGAAGGUAUUUUUGAUCAAUAUAGACGUAAUCGUUUCUAUGAGAAGCCCACCCAAAAGCGACGGCGCAUCAACUACGAAAUUUGC
rnacentral:lncRNA from 1 species